rnacentral:lncRNA from 1 species
UGUCACAUCUUUACUGAUAAUAAAUCAUGAAGGCUUUGAAUCACUGAACUACAACUUGUAAUAUUUCACUCCAUAUGCAUACCUUAGAAAUAUGCAUUUCUUCGCCCGCUCAAGUUUAUCAUCUCUUACAUAAGUAUAAACAAGACAAGCAAAUACUCUCAAUUAAGAGUAAUCAACAGGUGAAUCAGAUUAUAUCUCAAAAGGAGUUUUGCACUCAAUAUAUGUCGGUGUAGAUCUAUUAAUUAAG